UUCCUGUGUCCCUUGACAUAUUGCUUUCAUAUUUUGCAUACUUGUUAACCAUCAUGACGGCCCCUUUUAUACUUGAUAAUUGAACAUUUGCUUAAAUUGCCAUAACUUCUUUAUUUAUGAUCAGAUUUUAUUAAUACUUUGACAAAAAAACACUUACCUGAAUACCACAAUGGAUUCCACCCAAACAAAACUCCACGCCCGAAAAAAUUGUUUUUCCUAUUUUUAUUUUUGAAAGAUCAUCUAAUAAAUUAUUGAAUAUGAACAAUUUCCCCAUGAUGGCUUUCGUUAUACUGUCAAGCACUCGAAUAGUCAAGCGCGCUGUCCUCUUACAGCUCUUGUUAGAUAUCUUGGCAUAAAUGUUAACAAUCAUCAGACAACCUAUUUGUCUCCUUUCCUCAAAGGUCAAGGUAUCACUUAGAGGUCAAAGGUCAAAUCAUGCCACAAAACACCUUGUCAGGUCUGUUUCCUUGUCAUUCAUCAUGAAUUUUUUUUAAACUUACCACACAUAACCACCUUAUGGAGGCAGUGUGUCUUGUGUAUCACCCAUCUCCUUACUCUCAACAGACAUACUUAGGGUUAUAAGGCAAAUUUAACGAUAAAAUGUCUUGGAGUUUUAAAGGAAAGGUGGAUUUGGUAGCAUCUAUGCCAAAUGGAAACAGGUCUGGUUCACAAUGUAUUUCCUCAUUUGUUUACCAUAAACAACCAUAAACAACAUGUCACAUGUUUGUUAAGCUCCAAUGAAAUCAUGUUGUUAAAAAACACACUUGUGUUUUAUUCUUCUUUGCACAUUUAACCAUACUACACAAGCAAUCUUCCCUUAUUCUAACACUGUACUGUGUUAAAACUGAAUUUCCAUAAUUUGCAAAGAGCGCAUAAGUUUAUAUGUUAAACUGUCAUAUUUCGUGCUGUUGCAAAUCUUCUGUCAAACCAUUAAAAAAGUUGAUAUUUUGUCAGGUCCUCUCAGGUGUGGAGAGAUUUUCGUUUGAUAUUAUUAGUUGUCUAGUCAAUGUUUUUCGUCAUGUAGGUUGUAAAAUUUUCUCACAGUGGUUCAUAUACACAUAUUUUCGAAUUGUAUGCCAUUAAUCGUAUGAAUUCCUACCUGAUGUUUGAUUGUCAUGGCUUUUUGACUUGUUAAUUACCUGAUAUUAUUUGGCUCACGAGUAUUGUGGAUUUCUCCACCACACACAGACAUUUUAAAUGGCUUGUAAAUAAUGUGUUUUUCCAAUGUUGUUUGAUGUUGAAGUUGUCAUACCUGCACUUCAAUCAAAAUUAUUUUUUCAAAGAUAAAAGUAAAAUACUAUUAAAUUGUAUAAGAAACCAUAAUAUGACGGAUGUCCUCAAUAUCUUUAACUCUUUCUUAGCAGAUUACAAGUUGAAAUUGUUUCCUGUUACUUGUUUUAAUCUUACAACCAUGUAUCAUCUACUUUUCACAGUCCGGUAUACAUUUUGUUUGAAGUGCAUAUUCAAUAGGUAUGUUAUAGAUUCACAGAGAAGUAACUCUGUGCAAAACACUGCACAAAUACCUCAGUCUGUAUAGUGUGUUAUUUGCAAAAAAAUUAAAUGAACAUUGGUUCAAAAAAUUUCUAUAACUAUGUUUCACUGUUCGUUUGGUUGGAGGAAGCGAAGUAGAUGUGAUUGUUUUGUUGUCUGCUGCAACAGAAGUACCAAAGAAAAUGCUAUGUACCAGUAGUAGUUUUACAGAAAAUAUAAGUAUCAGUACUUCAAGGGUAGCCUGAUCAGCUAUUGUUGUUAAUGCAAGAUUUUAGUAUCCUGCAGUUUAUGAAAUUAUUUGGUAAAUACAUGUGUUGUAUACAGUCCCUAUAUUAAUUAUUUGAACUGCAUUCUGUAAAACCUGGUCUUAAUGCAUAUGCUUAAAGUGUUGUUGCAGUCUGAACAGGCUAACCGGGGACAACACUUCCCACCUAAACUUGAUUUACUUUAGAUUAUGUAUAAGAGACGUUCUUUAAACGGAAAAUACCAUAACCCUUUCCCACUCAGAAGCAAAGUGAACAUGGCUCUGUGCAAACAGCAUAAAACCAGAACAGCCUGUGAAUAACUCGCAGACUGUUCAGGUUUUAUGCUGUUUGCUGCUCAUCAGUAUCUUAGGGUUGCAAAUGAAGCUUUUGAAAGUUGAAUCUAGUAAGAAAGGUCUUAAAUUAAAUGUAACGUUUGAAGGGACUCCAAAUGCGUCAAAAUACGUAUCUAAGUGGUAAAGGGUCAAAUGCAGAAAGUUUCGUAAAUGACAACACUUUACGCACAUGCAUCUAAUCCGGUUUUCCCAGUACGAGGCUCAAUUUUAUGUCGGAAUGAAGGCUUGAUCAGGAUAAUAAGUCUUGUAAAAUGUACUGUUAUUGUAGACAGUAAGGAUUCAUGUAAUCCAUGACCAUGUUUGUCUCUGGUUAAAGUAGCUUAUUGGUAAACUGGCAUGAACAAUCUUGAUCUUGUUGUGUACAUAUUUGAGAAAUGUUGCUCUUGCCUACAAACGUUGGCUUUCACAUGGUUUGCACUGUUCUCAUUUUAUUUAUUGCAUCAGGUCUCAUUCUUUUUGUUUGUGGCAGUUUAUCCACAAUUAAUUGUUUUGUAUGUAUUGUUAGAAUUGAUGGAGAGAAUGAAUUCCAACUGUGUUUAUGUAAAUAAGGAAUACUGAAAAUGUAAAUAAGUUAUUUGUAAAUUCCAACACCCAUCUUAUACUAUGUUAAAUUUUUAUUUGUCAAUAAAAUUUAUUGAGCUUAGUAAAUAUAAAUAUUUUCGAGGUCUUUACCUGUCUGCAGUGGUUUACAAUUGUUGUUUUCUUUUAUUUGUUUGGUACUGGUAAUUCUUAAGUAGUUAUUUCGAUAUAUUCAUCUUAAGAAUGGUGAAUAAUUAAUGAUUAAUUUAUAGUGAAUGCAAACUGGUGCAAAAGUAAGUUACAUCGACCUUUAAGUAAAGGAGCAUUCACGUAUUGAGGAUUAAGUGUGAAGCUAUCAUAUGUUGUAGAGAAAGUUACAGCAGAUACUAGAGUUUCGUGCUCAACCCUCAAACGGUGUAUUGAAAUUAUUGUGAUUGAUCAUGCAAUAGUUCACAAAUCUUAGCUUUUGAAGAUAUGGUUUCAUUUUCAAUUCACAUUUUACCAAAGUUUCGAUGAAGGUCAGAAGGUUAGGCCUUUGUAAUGGCAAUUACCAGCAAUUGAAGCUGGUACCCUUAGUCCAGACAGUUUAUUGUGUUGCUCUGUUAUUGAAGGCAUAAUUAUGACAAGCAAAUACUUUCUUCAAUAUGCAUAGCUGCCAGAGAAGCACAUAUCUUUUCGAAGCAGGGAAGUAUUAUAAUGGUAUAUACCAAUAAUGUAUAAGUACUGUAAAAUGCCGUGUCAGUGUUAUGUCAUUCGCAUUAUAUGCUUUAUUUUAUCAGCAUACCAUCAGAUGUAUGGUGUAAAUGGUUACAAAGUAUGAUGAGUUUGUUGUUGGCAUGCAUUAUUUCAGUGAAGGAUAUAAAUAAAAAUGAUAUUGAAUGUUCAUGUAUGUAUUUGUUUUGUCAGUGUUAUGGAUAAUGGGUCUAAAGGGAGAUAUCUAGGGUCACAAAAAGUACAGGGUGUGCAAAAAAGGAGCAGGGUGUAUAGUUGGACCAUUUUGGUGACAUUUUCUAGUAUAUUUCUAAAUCCAAGAAAUUUCUCUAAGUCCUACACUGGUAAUUAAGGGUUUUAAACAAGUCAUGAUCCACCUGGACUAGAUUUUAAAUUAAGAAGAGAAAAAAAUAUUUCCCACACCAGCCUGCGCAGACUGCACAGGCUUCUCUGGGAAUAAAGUGUCUGUGCAUGCAUUAACCUUUCAGUGCUGGAACCGAAUUUUAAAGGUCCUUGCAAACACUGUUUGCUAUUGUGAUAGUAUUCUUUGAAAAACAAUCGAAGAAAAUGUUAAUUUUAGACAUUCAGCAGACGACAUCUAAGCAGACGACAAAUUUCCCAGCAUGCAAAGGGUUAAGCCUUGUUUUCCCAGAGUGAGGUUCAUUUUUAAUCCAUUAGUAAAGAUUUUCACAGUUUUUGUGGUGAUUGUUCCAGAGGGACCGGAAGGGAAACACCCUGUUAUUUAGCUCUAGAUUUUCCCUAGUCUAUAUAAAUCUGAAAUAUGAUAAGAUGGUGAAGAUUGAAUAAAUAUUUUUAAACCAAAAAAA